CCUACGGGGGGCAGCAGUAGGGAAUCUUCCACAAUGGGCGAAAGCCUGAUGGAGCAACGCCGCGUGGGUGAAGAAGGUCUUCGGAUCGUAAAACCCUGUUGUUAGAGAAGAAAGUGCGUGAGAGUAACUGUUCACGUUUCGACGGUAUCUAACCAGAAAGCCACGGCUAACUACGUGCCAGCAGCCGCGGUAAUACGUAGGUGGCAAGCGUUAUCCGGAUUUAUUGGGCGUAAAGGGAACGCAGGCGGUCUUUUAAGUCUGAUGGGAAAGCCUUCGGCUUAACCGGAGUAGUGCAUUGGAAACUGGGAGACUUGAGUGCAGAAGAGGAGAGUGGAACUCCAUGUGUAGCGGUGAAAUGCGUAGAUAUAUGGAAGAACACCAGUGGCGAAAGCGGCUCUCUGGUCUGUAACUGACGCUGAGGUUCGAAAGCGUGGGUAGCAAACAGGAUUAGAUACCCGGGUAAUC
rnacentral:rRNA from 1 species